rnacentral:lncRNA from 1 species
AUGGAUGCGAGAGUACAGAGCACUGAUCCCCACUCUCACCAGUCAGGCGCCUCUCCAAGAAGUGGCAAAACUCACCUGAAAAAAGGGAAACACAGCCCCAGACUGCUGCACCCGCCCCUGCUCUUCUGCUGGAAAUGGAAAAACAGACACAGAUCUGGGAGGAGCGGCAGGUCGGGAGGGCGAUUCUGGGGCAGCACUGACAUUGGGACUUACAAACCACAAAGAAGCGAGGGAGCCUCUGUGGUUCCACAGUGCAGCCUGCUGCAUCUCAGGGUGUCAAAGUGCCCCAGCAGCUGUGGACAGGAAGCUAGCGGGCUCCAGAAGAUAGGACAGUCUCCAAGACUCAAGAAUGAGGCUGGGGCCAAACUGUCCCCCACCUUCCUGUCCAAUGUCAGGCCACCGUUUUCCUAUUUGGCCUUCCCCAGCAGACUUCUCCUUCAGUCUUCAGCCCUUCUGGAAUGUUCCAUCCUCACCAUGUGCUGUGGUCUGCAUGGAAGCAGAAAACAUGGCUCCGAGCAGAGCCCAUGGUCCAUUCCCUUUGUGCUGAGGCUCCUCACAGACUCGGAUGUGUGUGGUUUGUGGGACCGACUUCCACCUGCUGCUUCCCCCUGCUCUUGGUGGGGAGCUUCCUCUAUUUCCCAUGGCACAGAGCCAGUGAGGCCUCCUCCCACUUCCCUCUCUGUGGUUCUGCGCUGCCAGGCUGGGAUCUUCCAUUCCUCAGGCUGUGCAAAGUCUGCUCUCAGUGGGGAGCUGCUGAGACCUCUCCCGGCCUCCUGCUGGCCUGAUGGUCCCUCUUACAGACCGCAGCCUGGCUCCAGCACUUGCCGGCCAUGCGGAGAUGUCCGCAUUUGCAAAAGUGAUAGCCCACAGCGUAUUUUAAAGACAACUCGCUGUGUCUUAGCAUCCAGCCACAGAAGAAGGAAAAAACGAGAUUCCCCCACAGCAAACAAGGCUAUGGUUGCGGUCCACAUUUUGGUUGCAAAUCUUAGCGAGACCUUAGGAUAUUUGGGAGAUGACCUCAUUGUAGGAAGUGGCAAAGUGCCACCUUUCUAG